rnacentral:rRNA from 1 species
UACGUAGGGAGCAAGCGUUGUCCGGAAUCAUUGGGCGUAAAGAGCUCGUAGGUGGUCUGUUACGUCUGCUGUGAAAUCCUAGGGCUUAACCCUGGGCCUGCAGUGGAUACGGGCAGACUAGAGGUAGGUAGGGGAGAAUGGAAUUCCCGGUGUAGCGGUGAAAUGCGCAGAUAUCAGGAAGAACACCCGUGGCUAAGGCGGCUCUCUAGUACGGUACUGACGCUGAGACGCGAAAGCGUGGGGAGCAAACAGG